UACGUAGGGUGCAAGCGUUGUCCGGAAUUAUUGGGCGUAAAGAGCUUGUAGGCGGUUUGUCGCGUCUGCUGUGAAAUUUCGGGGCUCAACCCCGAACUUGCAGUGGGUACGGGCAGACUAGAGUGUGGUAGGGGAGACUGGAAUUCCUGGUGUAGAGGUGAAAUGCGCAGAUAUCAGGAGGAACACCGAUGGCGAAGGCAGGUCUCUGGGCCAUAACUGACGCUGAGAAGCGAAAGCAUGGGGAGCGAACAGG
rnacentral:rRNA from 1 species